UGGGCGUAAAGCGCGCGUAGGCGGAUUAGAAAGUUGGGGGUGAAAUCCCGGGGCUCAACCUCGGAACUGCCUCCAAAACUGCUAGUCUAGAGUUCGAGAGAGGUGAGUGGAAUUCCGAGUGUAGAGGUGAAAUUCGUAGAUAUUCGGAGGAACACCAGUGGCGAAGGCGGCUCACUGGCUCGAUACUGACGCUGAGGUGCGAAAGUGUGGGGAGCAAACAGGAUUAGAUACCCUGGUAGUCCACACCGUAAACGAUGAAUGCCAGUCGUCGGGUAGUAUACUAUUCAGGUGACACACCUAACGGAUUAAGCAUUCCGCCUGGGGAGUACGGUCGCAAGAUUAAAACUCAAAGGAAUUGACGGGGGCCCGCACAAGCGGUGGA
rnacentral:rRNA from 1 species